rnacentral:rRNA from 1 species
UACGUAGGGGGCAAGCGUUGUCCGGAUUUAUUGGGCGUAAAGAGCUCGUAGGCGGUUUGGUAAGUCUGGGGUGAAAUCUCCACGCUCAACGUGGAGGGGCCACCCGAUACUGCCAUGACUGGAGUCCGGUAGAGGAGUGUGGAAUUCCCGGUGUAGCGGUGAAAUGCGCAGAUAUCUGGAGGAAUACCGGUGGCGAAGGCGGCAUCCUGGACCGGCAUUGACGCUGAUGAGCGAAAGCUAGGGGAGCGAACGGG